UUUCGGAUUUUCCAUUAUAUACGCGUACAAUUUAAAAAAAAAAAAAAAACGUUUUUCACGGCGAAAUUUACUUUUUCGGGUAAAUAUACUGCUGGACUACUGUUGUAGUAUUACGGCGGAUCCAAAUGCGCUAUGCAUACAUAUUCGAGUUAUUUACAACGCAGCAAUACAAUGACGGCGAAUUACUGCUAAAUACUGCGGCGCGAUUACGUUUUUUUACAGCAUCUCGGGGUG